GCCUGGCUGGCUCUGUCAGAAGAGCAUAUGACUUUUGAUCGCAGGGUUGUGAGUUUGAACCCCACGUUGGGUG
rnacentral:tRNA from 1 species